UACAGAGGUCCCAAGCGUUGUUCGGAUUCAUUGGGCGUAAAGGGUGCGUAGGCGGCGCGGUAAGUCGGGUGUGAAAUCUCGGAGCCUAACUCCGAAACUGCAUUCGAUACUGCCGUGCUUGAGGACUGGAGAGGAGACUGGAAUUUACGGUGUAGCGGUGAAAUGCGUAGAUAUCGUAAGGAAGACCAGUGGCGAAGGCGGGUCUCUGGACAGUUCCUGACGCUGAGGCACGAAGGCCAGGGGAGCAAACGGG
rnacentral:rRNA from 1 species